ACGUCCUACGGGAGGCAGCAGUAAGGGAAUUUUCCGCAAUGGGACGAAAGUCUGACGGAGCAAUGCCGCGUGAGUGAUGAAGGUUUUCGAAUCGUAAAGCUCUGUUGUAAGGGAAGAAUAGCAGUAGUAGGAAAUGACUACUGUGUUGACGGUACCUUACCAGAAAGCCACGGCUAACUACGUGCCAGCAGCCGCGGUAAUACGUAGGUGGCAAGCGUUAUCCGGAAUUAUUGGGCGUAAAGCGCAUGUAGGCGGCUCUUUAAGUCUGAUGUGAAAGCCUGUGGCUCAACCACAGAAAUUGCAUUGGAUACUGGAGAGCUAGAAUCUUGGAGGAGGUAAGUGGAAUUUCAUGUGUAGCGGUGGAAUGCGUAGAUAUAUGAAGGAACACCAAUGGCGAAGGCAGCUUCACUGGACAAGUAUUGACGCUGAGAUGCGAAAGUGUGGUAGCAAACAGGAUUAGAUACCCUGGUAGGCUCUG
rnacentral:rRNA from 1 species